rnacentral:tRNA from 6 species
CGGGGCGUAGCGCAGUCUGGUAGCGCACUUGUCUGGGGGACAAGUGGUCGCUGGUUCAAAUCCAGCCGUCCCGACCA